rnacentral:lncRNA from 1 species
GGAUUCAUCUGCGCUCAAUAAGUUCCCCACUCUGCAGUGUGUAAUACAGCACUCUCACAUCAGUCAUCUCUGAGCUGUCAAAACAAUCUGAUCUGCUUGGAGGACUGCUCGGCAGACGUCGGAUCACUUACACAGUUUUUCCAUGGGGAGUACACCGUGGAGGUGGCCAUCAACGACUACCUGGACAUCUACUGCCCCCACUACGAGGACCCGCUCCCCCUAGAGCGCAUGGAGCGCUACAUCCUCUUCAUGGUCAACUACGACGGCUACACCACCUGCGACCACCGCAUGAAGGGCUUCAAGCGCUGGGAGUGCAACCGGCCCCAGAGCCCCAACGGACCGCUCAAGUUCUCCGAGAAGUUCCAGCUCUUCACUCCCUUCUCACUGGGGUUUGAGUUCCGGCCGGGUCACGAGUACUACUACAUCUCGUCUCCACACCCUAACCUUGUUGGGAAACCCUGCUUGAAGUUGAAAGUCUAUGUCAAGCCCACAAAUGACUCAGUGUAUGAGUCCCCAGAGCCCUUCCUGACAGACGACAGCACCGGUGGCUGUUGGGUGGCCGCCCCCUGCCUCUCCCUCAUGCUGGCCAUGCUGCUCACGCUUCUCCUGUCCUCAUCAUAGCAUCUUGGGCCCGCCGGCCGUACCCCCUUUGGAACAGCCCCUACCCGACUUCCCGUCAAAUCUUCCGCCUCUGCCCCGCGCGAGGAGACAUGCCUCCUCCACACCCCAUCUCCCCACGCCUGUCCUCUCCUCCUCCCAUAUCAGUCCACUCCCCUCCACCCUCAACCCCUCGACAUGCACCAUCUGGACACUGUAAACUCAUACUGCCCCUCCCUCCCUCAGAACCCUCCAACUCCUCAGCGUAACCCUUGCUUCAUGACCUCUGGCUUCUGACCCUCGGCCUACAGCUCAAGUCCAGGUGGCAAUAAAGUGGAGUAGUCCUGGGGACCAGGAAGGAGUAGUGGAAAGACAAGAAGGAGUCCCUUAAAGACAGGAAGGAGUUCCUUAAAGUCUUUACAAAAACAGCCUCCCAGCUGCAGAGGAGCGCUGGGAUGUGCAAGAAAUGGAUGGGGUUUUGAACCGAACUGAGAACAAACUCCCCUCCUACGUGUCUGGAUGGUCGACAGUGACGUCAUCUCCACUUAAGGACCCUCUCAUUUGCAUCUUCAUCUUCGGACUGUUUGCGUUUCUCUUUGAGGCUUUGUGCUUUGAUUAUGCUCAAUAGUGUCCCACUUGUACAUGUUCAUUCUGUUACAGUGUAUUAUACAGUAGUAUAUUACUUUGUCACGUUGGCUCCUGCGGUGAUAGAUCAUAGGUGAACCUUCUCUUUAUCUCUCUCUCUCUCUUCUUGUGUGUCUCUGACCAGUCUCUCUCUCUCUCUCUCUCUCUCUCUCUCUCUCUCUCUCUCUCUCUCUCUCUCUCUCUCUCUCUCUUCUUGUGUGUCUCUGACCAGUCUUUCCCUCUCUCUCUUCUUGUGUCUCUGACCAGUCUCUCUCUCUCUCUCUCUCUCUCUCUCUCUCUCUCUUCUUGUGUGUCUCUGACCAGUCUCUCUCUCUCUCUCUCUCUCUCUCUCUCUCUCUCUCUCUCUCUCUCUCUCUCUCUUCUUGUGUGUCUCUGACCAGUCUCUAACAUCUUUGCAAUUUCUAGCAGUAGCGUCCCAGAGUAGAUGAGGACCUUUUCUGUAAAUCUGCCAAAGACACUUGUUUAACUUUUAUACCGGGAGAACAGGGGGGUGGGACGGCGCUGUCGUGGCUCUCCAACAAGGUCGUAAGCAGCCAUAGACCUCUGUGUAGACCCUCUAAAACAUGCCAUGGGGGUCCCAUCACAGGCAGGGCAGUGUAGAUUUUUUAAAAAGAGGAUCUUUUUGUCAUACAAAAAAAAAAGUUAUGUAAAAACAAACAAAUGAACCGUUUAAAAAAUUGCCUUUUUUCCACUGGUGCUGAAUUCAAAAUGAGUCUCUUCAUCUCAUGCUGCGGUGCUCUCUUUCUCACUACCCCCUCUUCUCUCUCUCUCUCUCUCUCUCUCUCUCUCUCUCUCUCUCUCUCUACCCCCUCUAUCUCUACCCCCUCUUCUCUCUCUCUCUACCCCCCUCUCUCUCUACCCCUCUUCUUUCUCUCUCUCUCUAUACCCCUCUUCUCUCUCUUUCUCUCUCUACCCCUCCUCUCUCUUUCUCUCUCUACCCAUCUCUCUCUCUCUACCCCUCUUCUCUCUCUCUCUAUCCCUCUUCUCUCUCUUUCUCUCUCUCUACCCCUCUCUCUCUACCCCUCUUCUCUCACACUCUCUCUCUCUACCCCUCUCUCUCUACCCCACUUCUCUUUCUCUCUCUCUACCCCUCAUCUCUCUCUUUACUGCUCUUCUCUCUCUACCCCUCUUCUCUUUCUCUCCCUCUCUCUCUCUCUCUCUCUCUCUCUACCCCUCAUCUCUCUCCCUCUCUUUCUCUCAUUCUCUCUACCCCCUUCUAUCUUACUCUCUCUCAUUCGCUCUACACUCUCUCUCUGUCUCAUUCUCUGCCCCCUCUCUCUCUCUUUCUCUCUCAUGCUCUGAAUGUGAGCUUUUCACCGUGUGACGUUUUCGCUGUACGACACAUGCCCAUUUCUAUGUCAGGUCCUCUUGUCUGAGUCCCAGUACUGAGGCUGGUGACCGCUGGGUCAUUGUGGAGACUGAGGGCCUGUCAUCUCGAGGGGAAUGGACAAUGUGACAUCCCCAUGUAUUGUGCAACACUAAGGGAGCCAGACCUCCAUGUACACUUAAAGGUGACGGAAAGGGAGCCAGACCUCCAUGUACACUUAAAGGUGACGGAAAGGGAGCCAGACCUCCAUGUACACUUAAAGGUGACGGAAAGGGAGCCAGACCUCCAUG